rnacentral:rRNA from 1 species
AGCAGCCGCGGUAAUUCCAGCUCCAAUAGCGUAUAUUAAAGUUGUUGCAGUUAAAAAGCUCGUAGUUGAAUUUCGGGAUCAGUUCGCUGGUCGUGCCUCUGGUAUGUACUGGUGUUACUGGUUCCCCCCUUCUGACGAACUGUCAUGUCAUUUAUUUGGUGUGGUAGGGAAUCAGGACUGUUACUUUGAAAAAAUUAGAGUGUUUAAAGCAGGCUCGCGCUUGAAUACAUUAGCACGGAAUAAUGAAAUAGGACGUUCGAUCCUAUUUUGUUGGUUUCUAGGAUUGACGUAAUGAUUAAUAGGGAUAGUUGGGGGCAUUAGUAUUCAAUUGUCAGAGGUGAAAUUCUUGGAUUUAUUGAAGACUAACUACUGCGAAAGCAUUUGCCAAGGAUGUUUUCAUUAAUCAAGAACGAAAGUUAGGGGAUCGAAGACGAUCAGAUACCGUCGUAGUCUUAACCAUAAACUAUGCCGACUAGGGAUCGGAUGAUGUUAAUUUUUUAAUGACUCAUUCGGCGCCUUA